AGCGAACGCUGGCGGCAGGCUUAACACAUGCAAGUCGAGCGGGCACUUUCGGGUGUCCGCGGCGGACGGGUGAGUAACGCGUGGGAACGUGCCCUCUGGUUCGGAAUAACUCAGGGAAACUUGAGCUAAUACCGGAUACGCCCUUUUGGGGAAAGGCUUGCUGCCGGAGGAUCGGCCCGGGUCUGAUUAGCUAGUUGGUGAGGUAACGGCUCACCAAGGCGACGAUCAGUAGCUGGUCUGAGAGGAUGAUCAGCCACACUGGGACUGAGACACGGCCCAGACUCCUACGGGAGGCAGCAGUGGGGAAUAUUGGACAAUGGGCGCAAGCCUGAUCCAGCCAUGCCGCGUGAGUGAUGAAGGCCUUAGGGUUGUAAAGCUCUUUUAUCCGGGACGAUAAUGACGGUACCGGAGGAAUAAGCCCCGGCUAACUUCGUG
rnacentral:rRNA from 1 species